AACGAACGCUGGCGGCAUGCCUAACACAUGCAAGUCGAACGAGACCUUCGGGUCUAGUGGCGCACGGGUGCGUAACGCGUGGGAAUCUGCCCUUGGGUUCGGAAUAACAGUUAGAAAUGACUGCUAAUACCGGAUAAUGUCUUCGGACCAAAGAUUUAUCGCCCAGGGAUGAGCCCGCGUAGGAUUAGCUAGUUGGUGAGGUAAAGGCUCACCAAGGCGACGAUCCUUAGCUGGUCUGAGAGGAUGAUCAGCCACACUGGGACUGAGACACGGCCCAGACUCCUACGGGAGGCAGCAGUGGGGAAUAUUGCGCAAUGGGCGAAAGCCUGACGCAGCGACGCCGCGUGGGUGAUGAAGGCCU
rnacentral:rRNA from 1 species